rnacentral:lncRNA from 1 species
CGUGGAUCACAAUCGCAACAUUCUCUUCUUGCGUCAAAGGAAUGACUGCCAGAUACUCACUCCAGAGGUCUGUAUCGUAUUUUUCUGUUUUAUGUUUCUGGUCCGUUGAUUUGUUAUGAACAGAUGCAUUUAGAAAUAAGCAUGUAGUUAAGUUGGCAGCUAAACUGCUAGCUUAGCAAAACUGUUGCACUCACUCAAAAGGUUGUACUUAAUUUUCUCCUGAAAAACUUCCGUGCAGUUUCUCUUUUUUCUUGCAUCUCUGUUUUGUUAACUAUGAUUAUAAUUGACAAAUGCAGAAUCCUUUUUUGCAAUUGACUGGCCCGUCUCGUGCAAUUGCGGCUAUAGAUCCUGUUGACUUUGACAUUAAACUCAAAGUAAAGGGCAGGAUGAAGUCAAAAGAUAGAGUGCUCAUGCAUCAGACCUCCAAGUACAGCUGUAAUGAGGCCAUUCUGUUGGAUGACUCCUGCAGAAUUGUGUUACGGUGUGCGAAACUGGAGAAGACAGUGCAAGCAACUAUAGUCGGUGUCCGUGUUAUUAAUUGGAGAAAGAAGAAAUGGCCUUUUAGACAUGGUGGUCUAGUCAUUGCCAAGGCACAUUCUAAGCCCGUUAAACCUCAGAAUGAGGUCCUGCUACAAGAUCAAGUGAUGGAUAACAUUUCAGAUGGUUACUUUCAAGGUGAAGUUAGUUGUGUUGGCGACAGAUCUUCGGCGCUGAAACAUGAAGAUGAGGUUGUGCUUCAAGGUCAAGUGACAGCUAACAACUGGGAUGGUUGUCUUGAUCUGUCAAGGCACGUUGUUUCCGUAGAGUUAGAUGGAAAGCUCGAAGUCAUCAUCCGUGCCCUGUCUUCAAAUGGUUUUGUUACUAAACAUGGCCAUGUCUUCUUUCCAGCCCAGGAAAGCAAAAUAAGUCGGGGCAUAUGUGAUCUUGCCUCCUAUAAGGUGGAAGUCGCUGUUGCUUGGUCCCUUCUUGUUCGAGACAAGCAGUUUAUCUCGAGGGAGGGAUGUAUGGAUGAUGACUAGGCGUGAACAUUAUAUAAAUUAAAUACAGUUAGCCAUUUAAAGCUGUCAGCUCUAUCCAUUGUCUUAAUGGCUUUAUAUCUAAUGCUAUGUUAAACUAUUAGUGUAUUGGCUGUCAGUGAUUUUACUUAAAUUGUCUACUACACCCUUCGUUUUUAAAUAUAAGAGUUUUGGCAUUCUAAUUUAUACUGCCUAAAUGUCUUACAUUUAUGAACGGAGGUAAUGUUUUGUAUUGACUGCAAAAUGUAGGUUUGACUCUUUUUUUUAGCCACUCUGUUUUUACUCCUGAAUACUACAUGGGUGGUAAGCUGGAGAUUGGUUAGUAUUAUACCCAUCUGAUCUGUGAAAUAUUUGUUUGGCGUGAGAUUGAUUAGUUUAUACCCGUAAUGCCUAAUUGACAUCCGUGGCUACGAAUCAGUCUGGUCGUGAUUUAAAGUCAGCUCCUAUGUGAUAGUAGUCUGUUUGAGGUUUUGUUGUGUCGAAGCAAGAACAGUUCUCAUCCCAAGUCACUCCCAUCUACCUUACGAAGCAUUUUUGGAUUACACGGCACUAGCCAGUGAGGACCUCUGCAGAAUGGUGUUGCUGCCUCCCAGCAUACCAUCAACGAGAUCAAUUGCCGAUAUCAAACAGACAAUGACAAGUCAGUCUCCGUCCCUAGUGGAUGCUUCAACCCUGUGAGGCUUUGCUUUCCCCGAGGCCACUUGAAGAGAAAAUUACAUGUAUCGUCCUUGAACUCGCUGGUGCAUGGUCCUUAUACUUGCAAAUACGUAAAAUAAUGCAGUCCUGCGUAAGCUAGGGAUGUGUUUGGUAGACUGCAUGAGCCCAACCAGGACCACACGGUGCAAAAAUAUCCUGUUUGGUUGUCUGGUCUGCAUCAGUCUUUUUUGCCCGCAUGAUGUUUAAAGCACUCCCGGGCGAGUGAAGUCUGAAAUAAACCCUGUCGUUGUAGAGCUUGACGCAAAUAAACCCUCACCUCUAAAUCCCUGAAGUUGGUACCCUAUACUCUUUAAUCCCGGUCUAAAUAAACCUUAUGGCGGUUUUAUGAGUGGAUUUGAUGAUGUGGCAACUAAAGGCCAGGAUUGCUGACUUUGACCAUAACAAUUUUCUUUGCCGAGUUGUAUUGCUGCCAGAUCGCUGCGUUUGUCAAUGGGCUCGAGCCACAGACCAUCUCCUCCUGCCAUGGUGCGAAGCCGGCGCCUGAGCCCAUCUGGUCGCUGCACGUGUCUGGCACGAACAGCUCCUGCGUUGCCUGCGAGAAGCCGGCGAAGGUCAGCGAGGAGGAGCGGACGGUGUCUUGCUCGUUGUCCACUUUCUGCUUCUCGAGCACCGUGCAGAGCACCGAGUCCUCCUGCAUAAUUGAAGUGCCGUGCCAUGCAUCCAGAUUAGGAACACCGAUCGAUGCAAUUGCAAAGAGGAGCUAACCUGGCCGUGAGCUUCGCCUGUCUACGCGCACCCAAAGCAUGAUUAGCAGUGUGAGUCAGUGAAAAUACAUACAGUAUAUACCGCGUACACAUGCAUGCAUAAGCUAGCCUUCAGAUCAGGCCUCAUAACGUAAGUAGCCUUCAGCACAUCACACACAAAAUACGUUAAUUGUGUCGGUUCGUACAAUUUCCAGCACACAACCCAUCCAUCCCAGCCAUUUCCACUGCCACCAUCUAGUUCCCCGUUUGGAUAGGCAUAUAAGGUUGAAAAUGGCCGGGAUUGAAAAGAACAGGGUAUAAACUUCAGUGAUUUAGAGGUGAGGGUUCAUUUGCGUCGAGCUCUACAACUACGAGGUUUAUUUUAGACUUCACUCCUCCCGGGCCAGGCUGAGUGGAAACGACCAUUUUUCGGACCCAGGUUUGGAGAGUCACGUGUGACUUGCCUGCACGCUUGAGGAAGCGCGGGAGACGAUGGACAUCUCAAACACGUCAUUGCCCAAACCCCAUUUGGUUCUCUCUCUCACCGCCCCCUCGUCUCCGAUGGCCGCUCCACCACCGUGCCACCCCAAUCCCAUUCGCGCUGACCCUGAGAACCACAAUCACUAGCUCGACAGCCUGACGGCAGACGACAUCAACCACGGUCAGUUGUUGGCGGCUCAAGUCACCAUCCCCUCUCUGCAAGAGGCCACGGUCCGCGGCCAUCGACCCUCUACGAAACUUCGCUCUUGUGUCCGCAGCGGCUGCCGAUGUUCUUCAUUUGCAGUGGUGGUGACGUGGAUGGGUGUUGUGGGUGCUGACACCUCGGAUGUGGUGGGGGCGGUGAUUUUCACUCAUGUCCGAGGGUUUUCUAACAUCACCCCGGCUGGUACGUCAAUUGUGGCGGCCUAGACCUCUAAUGUGAUGGUGGUGACGAGGGCCGCGUCAAUGGUAGGAUCACUGGAUUCGGUUGCAAGCACAUCCACCUUUGCCGGUCCUUUGUUACUGCCAGGGUUUGGUGCAGCCUGCUACACCUUCCCCUCCGGCGCGGUUUGCUUCACCUCCACCCAUGGUGGCACCCUAGACGAACGUAGUACGUAAAUCUUCGUGUCUACCAGUUCAAAUUUUGGGGUGGUUAGGGUUUUGUUCGGGCAGUUGCUUUGAUUUGAAACGACUCGAUUCGCGUCGAAUCGAUUUGAACCAUGAUAUGCUCUUAUAAUUUUCUCAUGAUAUGUGCUUAUAAUGUGCCCGCGACAAUGCUAUGAUUACAUGUUCUUGCGGUGUAUGAUAAGUACGGCUGUUGACCUAGAAAUGUGUUCAUGCUACAUAUGAUUAUAAGGAAUCCUAUGGUUAGAGUAGGAAUGGUAUGCCUGCUAUGUUUGUAUGACCACUGAUCAAGGCAAUGGCAUGGCCAUGAUCAAUGCACAAAUCAUGUCACUGGGCAUUGCUCUGGUUAGUGCUUAGUUGUGCAGUGCAACGGUGUUACUCACUCUUGUCUUCUGAACUGACAAGGUGAGAAAGAACGAGUGAGAUCAAAUCGAUGGUGGGGUCAAAGUCAUGGAAGGCGCGGAGGACUCCAAAGAAUUAGUUGUGCUAGCAACGAUCAUCUUGUCGGGGAGGAGGGGGCAACGAAGCCUCUGCAUAAGACUGCCGGCCCAUCGAGGAUUAGGCAUGAGCUGGCAGAAUUGGUGCCACACAGGUUCUACAUGCAGAUAUGGGACACUAAAGAUUUAGCCAUGCUCAUCAUCCCUAGGGCUUUCCAGCCGGUGAUGCCAAGGUGGAUAUACAUCUACCUUCUACAAGUUGUCAAGCUCUCUAUCAGCAAGCGGCGCCAGUACUUCGUGCAGAUCUAGGAACUCAAUGGCGAGCUCGUGCUGGUGCAGGAUGACAGUUGAUUCCAACAGAUCUCGGGUAGGGGCCCCUGAGUUAGUAGCCUAGAUGCAAUGGUAACAAGGACACGAGGUUUACCUAGGUUCAGGCUCUUCGAAGAGAUAAAACCCUAUGCCUUGCUUAUGUUGUAUUGAUUUGAAUGGAGUACAAAGUACAGAUUGGUAUACCACGAGAUUGUUGUGUCGUCUAUCAACCCUACCCAUUAGUUUAUAUAGAUCCGGAGGGGGGGGGGUCUAGGGUUACAAUUAGGUCGGCUAUUGUCGGUGUCUCACUACUACAGGAUACUGCUAACGCGACACUACGAUCAGAGACCCUUUGCCGAAACUGUGUGCGAUGCAAUAAUCGCAAACAGCGGUGUAAAAAACCCGUCAAAAAAGGUGCAGAACUUUUGCGAUGACGGAGCCAUCAAACACGGUUCAUAUUUUAGUUGCGUGUGUGAUGCAGGGCACAUGGUUAAUCGAUUUCAAAGUUUGUAAUGAGGCAGAACAAUAGAAACGGGCAGCCAUAUCAAUGUGUGUGCGAUGCAGGACACACAGUUAAUCCAUUCGAAUUCUUUGCGAUGAGGUAGAACAACAGAAACGGACAGCCAUAUCAAUGUGUGUGAUAUACGGCAUACGGUUCACUGGGACGAACUGUUCUCGAUUAGGGAACACAACAUAAAUGAUUCAACUUAACAAGAUGUGUGUGAUAUGCGGCAUACAAUUCACAUGGAUGAACUGUUUGCAAUAAGCCAAAAGAACACAAACGCAUCGUGUAAACAAGAUGUGUGUGAUACGUGGCAAACAGCCGACUCAGAUGAACUGUUUGCGAUGAAAAAUUACAACACAAACAGUCAAUGCAGUUACUUCGUGUGCGAUUCUUUGUGUAUAAAAAACUUUAAAAAAUGCAAACUAGUUGCUUGCGGUGGCUAGGAGUAUCGCACACGAUGCGUCUGCGAGUACUCGUGUGCGAUGAUUAGUAUGGUACACAUACGUUUCCUUAUGUUAACAUGUGUGUGAAUUUGCAAUAUGGAUAGUUAAUAUCCAAAUGCCUUCUGGACAUCGGGCACACACUUAAACUCAAUGAAUUGUGUACGAUACUAAUACUUUCCAUGAAAAUUUAUGAACUUGAGUAACAACAUUUGAGUAACACAUAUAUAGUGGUUACACUAUUCGACAAAAGGAGGAUCUUCGUAACACGGUUUUGACAACCAUAUGGUCCAUAUCUACAUACUUAACAUAGUAACAACUAUCACAUUUUAAGAGGCUAAGGGCCAACAACCAUAUGGUCCAUAUCUACAUACUUAACAUAUAUAGUAACAACUAUCACAUUUUAAGAGGCUUAGGGCCAACAACCACAACUAUCCACUAGAAGCAGCUUGAUCAUGGCGACUCGGCAUCUCGUCAAUGAAAAGUAAGAUCCCUCAUGUGCCUUGGUAGAGCAUGAGUAGAACAUUGUCUCCAAUUUUCCAAUAUGGAUGCAUUGCCACGAGAAGCGAGAACUUGUUAAUUUGAAUGGUUCAAUUUCUGCGGGAAAUGCAGUACCUUACAAUCACUUUGGCAUUAUUAGCAGGCACACGUGUAAUUCAACCACGCCGGGAAAUCGAUCCAGGAAUUGCUACAGGGGCAAUUUGUAUUGACAUGUAGAAUAAAAACCAAUUGUAACAUAUCAUUGAAGAUAUAUAUAGUUUAUGAGCAUCAACAUUAAAAUAAGACUUUUUACCAGCGUUUUGUGCACACAAUUGGUCUUGUUCAGUGUGUACACCAUAGGUCUAAUUAAUUCCAUCCAAAAUCCAGCAUUCACACGCUGUGCUAUCUCUGUCAUAUUAUCAACAAAGUUUAUGACAUGCUUCAAGUCCUUCCAGUGAAAUUUGGUAUGCUUAGUAACAUACAGAUCGUUCACUAUGCAUCCAACAUAUCCUGCUUGAAAGGUGGAAAUGUAUUAUUUAUUCAGAACAUGGCAAAAGAAUAUAUAGUGCGCAUAAAUUGGUAAACAUAAUUUGUUACUGCCUAGGAACGGAGUCAGAAUAUGAUAUCACAAUUGGUUGCUUAAGUGAUCAAUUAGUCAAAACAAAUACCUCGAUUUUGCUAAGUAAUAUGACAACAUGGAGAAAGUUGAAAGGACACUAACCUCGAUCAGACUUUGAUCGGCUGAUGACAUUGGGAAAGUAAACAUCCAUGUUUAUUAGACCAGGUUGUGGUGCAUGCACUAGAAUUUUAUCACCAGCUUUCAGUUCAUAACACUUAGACAUUUUUCUCCAAAGGUCCACAUUAAAAUAGAAGUGACCAUCUUUAUCAAGUUUUAUGCUAACCGUCAUUGUAAAUCCAUGCUGCGUUGUCAAUAUGACAUCAUGCGAGUCAUCAACAAAGUAAAGCCCAAGAUUUCCUUCUACUCAUGUUCUUGCAAAGCAAGGGAUGUACUGCUUGAAAUGAAAAUUAAGAUCGUAAAUCAGAUAUAUUGAAAUAACAGAGUAAGAUGCAAAUAUGGGAGUAACUAGUAGAACAGAUCAAUAUAUAGAUGAAAGUAAAGUACAAAAAUAUAGAAUUGAAAAUAGAUAAUGUAACAAAUAUUUGAUGCAAAUAUAUAGAUAAUGUAGCAACAGACGGUAUAUAUUCACAAAUUUAGGCCAUGCCGACCGUGGUAGGUCGAGAUUGAACAUACCGAUCGCUCCCUGAAGUCAUCCGGAAUGGUGAGAUAGAAUUUCGUUUCCGACUGGCCACGACCAUAGUUGCCCGAUUUGUGCUCGCACUGUGGACACAUGAAUGAACACCCACGAAUCAGCUAGAACAAAAAUGAUUCCACGACGAUUUCCGCCGGUUGAUUAACAACGACGGACGGACUGCGAUAAGAGAUGAGUGAAAUAUUUCUCUAAGUUGAUUACCUUCUCCAUGAGAAAAAUCCCCGGCCCAAUCCCGCAGAAAACCCUAGUUGACCAGAGUCUAGAAUGUCGGUGCAGAUAGGCGGCGGGACGCGGUAGGGGCGAAAUCCCGUUAAGUUUGGAGGGCGACCUACGCCCGCCGCCAACAGUCGUCGAGCUUAGGGUGCAGAGUUGCGGAGGAGUCCGCGGCGAGUGAGUGGGGACGAAGUGGGUGAGGGUUUUCUUUUUCCCUUUUGCAUGUGUGAGUGAACACACACAGUUCGCAGAGGCGGCGGAGACGAAUCAUGUGCGAUAGUAAAUCACCGAGAUUGAAUGAGAAUCCAAAUUUCCUUUGUCCUUCAUCCAUGAGUUUUUUUUCUACGAUGAACAUAAACCCUGCUAAUCACCAUGUUCAAAUUUGACACUUUUCCGGGUUCAUUUACAAUAUUUAGGGGAUUAUGUGCAUUUUGUAGGCAUUAAUGCACAUAAUUCAAAUUCAAACAAUUGGUGCUUGAAAAGGUGCACAAGAACGGUCUGGAAAAACCAUACUCGUGGUAUUUAGUAAUUUCUAAAGCCUUUUACAAGGAAUGGGCAGAGAUUUCCAUGGAAUGCGUGGCAAUAGUCAACCACAAACGCGUCAUUUACUGGGUUAUCAACUAUAGAACAAUGAAAUACGUGCUUGAAAAACAUGAUGCCUGGCAUGGUGCCAUGGUAUGGCCUCAUAGUGCCCUGGUUAAAAGCUGAGAAGGUUUGACUUAUGUCGUCAUGCACGCCCUUCAUAAAUCGAACCAUUACCGAGGAAGUUCAAUGCUUUCGAGAGGGAAAUCACCAAGAUUGAAGGGGAAUCAAAAUUUCUGUCCUAGUUUGUCAUUUAGUUUUUUUCCAAUGAUCAACAUACCGCCUCAAAUGCAACAUGUUCAAAUUUGACAUUUUUCCGAACUCAUUUACCAUAUUUAGGGGAUCAUGUGCAUUUUCUAGGCAUUAAUUAUGCACAUAAUUCAAAUAAGAACAAUCAGUGCAUGAAAAGGUGCACAAGAAUGGUGGAAAACCAUGCUCGUGCUAUUUAAUACAUUCUCAUGCCUUUCACAAGGAAUGGGCAGAUAUUUCAAGGAAAUGUGUGACAAUAGUCAACCAUAAACGCAUCGUUUACUGGGUUAACAACUAUACAAAAAUGAAAUACUGUUGGGGAACGUAGUAUUUCAAAAACAAUCCUACGAUCACGCAAGAUCUAUCUAGGAGAAGCAUAGCAACGAGUGGGGAGAGUGUGUCCACGUACCCUCGUAGACCGAAAGGGGAAGCGUUUACUAAUGCGGUUGAUGUUGUCGAACGUCUUCGCCAUCCAACCGAUCAAGUACCGAACGCACAGCACCUCCGUGAUCUGCACAUGUUCAGCUCGGUGGCGUCCCUCGAACUCUAGAUCCAGCUGAGGCCGAGGGAGAGUUUCGCCAGCAUGAUAGUGUGGUGACAGUGAUGAUGAAGUUACCGACGUAGGGCUUCGCCUAAGCACUACGACAAUAUGACCGAGGUGGAAAACUGUGGAGGGGGGCACCGCACACGGCUAAAGAUAAACUUGUGUGUCUAUGGGUUGCCCCUCCCCCGUAUAUAAAGGAGGGGAGGAGGAGACCGGCCGGGGCGCUCCAAGGGGAGAGGAAUCCUACUCUAGUAGGAGUAGUUUCCUCCUUUCCUAGUCCAAGUAGGAGAAAGGGGGGAGGAGGAGGAGGAGANNNNNNNNNNNNNNNNNNNNNNNNNNNNNNNNNNNNNNNNNNNNNNNNNNNNNNNNNNNNNNNNNNNNNNNNNNNNNNNNNNNNNNNNNNNNNNNNNNNNNNNNNNNNNNNNNNNNNNNNNNNNNNNNNNNNNNNNNNNNNNNNNNNNNNNNNNNNNNNNNNNNNNNNNNNNNNNNNNNNNNNNNNNNNNNNNNNNNNNNNNNNNNNNNNNNNNNNNNNNNNNNNNNNNNNNNNNNNNNNNNNNNNNNNNNNNNNNNNNNNNNNNNNNNNNNNNNNNNNNNNNNNNNNNNNNNNNNNNNNNNNNNNNNNNNNNNNNNNNNNNNNNNNNNNNNNNNNNNNNNNNNNNNNNNNNNNNNNNNNNNNNNCGGUACUCCGAAAGUUAUCCGAUACGACCCAAACCAUUCCGGUGUCCGAAUAUAACCUUCCAAUAUAUGAAUCUUUAUGUCUCGACCAUUUAGAGACUCCUCAUCAUGUCCGUGAUCUCAUUCGGACCUCUAAACAACCUUCGGUACAUCAAAUCACAUAAACUCAUAAUACCAAUCGUCAUCGAACGUUAAGCAUGCGGACCCUACGGGUUUGAGAACUAUGUAGACUUGACCAAGACACAUCUCUGGUCCAUAACGAAUAGCGGAACCUGGAUGCUCAUAUUGGCUCCUACAUAUUCUACGAAGAUCUUUAUCGGUCAAACCGCAUAACAACAUACGUUGUUCCCUUUGUCAUCGGUAUGUUACUUGCCCGAGAUUCGAUCAUCGGUAUCAUCAUACCUAGUUCAAUCUCGUUACCGGCAAGUCUCCUUACUCAUUUCUUAAUGCAUCAUCCCGCAACUAACUCAUUAGUCACAUUGCUUGCAAGGCUUAUAGUGAUGUGCAUUACCGAGAGGGCCUAGAGAUACCUCUCCGACAAUCGGAGUGACAAAUCCUAAUCUCGAUCUAUGCCCUGGAGUUUUUUUCUACGACAAACAUACACCCUGCAAAUCACCGUAUUCAAAUUUGGAAUUUUUCUUGGCUCACUCACCAUAUUUAGGGGAUUAUGUGCAUUUUCUAGGCAUUUAGCGCAUAUAAAUCUAAUCCUGCUAUAGGUGCAUGGGUGUUAUGUGAGGGACGUGGAUUGCCAUUCGAUCGCGGCGCAUCCUACAGUGCACACGCGUGAUCCGCGUGGCUGGGGUUUUGGCCAAUCAUAAUGCAACACACAAUAGGCUCAGCGCACACUGUUUCCGGAAGCGACGGAGAUGAACCGUGUGCGAUAAUGAACGAGCAAAAUUGUAAGGGAAGCCAAAUUUCUAUUGGUGUUUGUCGUUGAGCUCUUGAAUACCACUGCACUGUACGGCUGCCUGCCCCCUCCGUCCCAGAGCUCUCUAGAGGCGUCGUCCAUGGCACCGCGACACACAGUAAUUGGUAAGGAAGUGAUGGCAUCUCGCCGCGUCGCGUUCCUCGCUACCCACGACCGCACACAUGGUAAGGAAGCGAAGGCAUCUCGCCGCACCGAUUUCAUCGCCGCCAGCGGCCAGAUAGUUACAUGGGCGGACUUUGAGGCUGCCAUGGCCGAAUGGGUGGUGGAUCUAGAGGCGGCCAAAGCCGCACAGAAGGAGCGGAAAAGGUAGAAAGCAGUCAAGAAAAGAGAGUCCCGCCGCCUCAAUAAAAAAGAGGCCACACACUAUGGUGAGGAGAGCUUGGUGGAGAUCAAAGCACGGUGUGAUGCCGCCUACAAGGCCGGGAAGGAGAACGCCGGCGUCUGGCCAACAUGCCCCAAUGGCAACAUGUGAGAAGAAGUUUAAGUUUGUAGUAUUAGAGCAAAUUACCAGUAGUACUUUAUGUUUGUAGUAUUAACAUACAAUGUCGGUAAGAGCAUCCUUUGAGGGCUUUGAGCGUUGAUUAGCAUGUGUACCCGUGUGUGUUUUUUGAGUUAAUCAUUAGAAGAUCACAAAACACAUGGUUUCUAUGCCGUACCCGUCUCAUUUUUUUGCGUUAAUGAUCCAUAAGUCAGUUACCUGUGCGAUGUUUCCUAAUAAACCAGGCGUACCAUUGACCGAGAAAAAUCAACUACAUGUGUACAUUUUUUUGGAGACGGGAUCUGCUGAUGAUCCACAAGUAUAGAGGAUCUAUCGUAGUCCUUUCGAUAAGUAAGAGUGUCGAACCCAACAAGGAGCGGAACGAAAUGAUAAGCUGUUUUUAGCAAGGUAUUCUCUGCAAGCACUGAAAUAAUAGGUAACAGAUAGUUUUGUGAUAGGAUAAUUUGUAACGAGUAACAAGGAACAAAAGUAAAUAAAGUGCAGCAAGGUGGCCCAAUCCUUUUUGUGGUAAAGGACAAGCCUGGACAAACUCUUAUAUGAUGUAAAGCGCUCCCGAGGACACAUGGGAAUAUCGUCAAGCUAGUUUUCAUCACGAUCAUAUGAUUCACGUUCGGUACUUUGAUAAUUUGGUAUGUGGGUGGACCGGUGCUUGGGUACUGUCCUUACUUGGACAAGCAUCCCACUUAUGAUUAACCUCUAUUGCAAGCAUCCGCAACUACAACAAAAGUAUUAAGGUAAACCUAACCAUAGCAUGAAACAUAUGGAUCCAAAUCAGCCCCUUACGAAGCAAUGCAUAAACUAGGGUUUAAGCUUCUGUCACUCUAGCAACCCAUCAUCUACUUAUUACUUCCCAAUGCCUUCCUCUAGGCCCAAAUAAUGGUGAAGUGUCAUGUAGUCGACGUUCACAUAACACCACUAGAGGAGAGACAACAUACAUCUCAUCAAAAUAUCGAACGAAUACCAAAUUCACAUGACUACUAAUAGAAAGACUUCUCCCAUGUCCUCAGGAACAAACAUAACUACUCACAAAGCAUAUUCAUGUUCAUAAUCAGAGGGGUAUUAAUAUGCAUAUAGGAUUUGAACAUAUGAUCUUGCACCAAAUAAAAAAACUAGCAUCAACUACAAGGAGUAAUUAACACUACUCGCAACCCACAGGUACCAAUUCCAGACUUGGAGACAAGAAUUGGAUACAAGAGAUGAACUAGGGUUUUGAGAGGAGAUGGUGCUGGUGAAGAUGUUGAUGGAGAUUGCCCUCUCCCGAUGAGAGGAGCAUUGGUGAUGACGAUGGUGAUGAUUUCCCCCUCACGGAGGGAAGUUUCCCCGGAAGAAUAGCUCCGCCAAAGCCCUAGAUUGGUUUCGCCAAGGUUCCGCCUCGUGGCAGCGGAGUCUUGUCCGGAAAGAUGGCUUAUGAUUUUUUCCUCAUCGAAAGACUCCAUAUAGGAGAAGAUUGCCAUCGGAGGGCCACCAGGGGGCCCACGAGGUAGGGGGCGCGCCCAGGGGGGUAGGGCGUGCCCCCACCCUCGUGGGCAGGGUGUGCCCCCCCUAGCGAACUUCUUGCGCUCAGUAUUUUUUAUAUAUUCUGAAAACAUCUUCCGUGAAGUUUCAGGACUUUUGGAGCUAUGCAGAAUAGGUCUCUAAUAUUUGCUCCUUUUCUAGCCCAGAAUCCCAGCUGCCGGCAUUCUCCCUCUUUAUGUAAACCUUGUAAAAUAAGAGAGAAUAGGCAUAAGUAUUGUGACAUAAUGUGUAAUAACAGCCCAUAAUGCAAUAAAUAUCGAUAUAAAAGCAUGAUGCAAAAUGGACGUAUCAACUCCCCCAAGCUUAGACCUCGCUUGUCCUCAAGCGAAAGCCGAAAUCAAAAAAUAUGUCCACAUGUUUAGAGAUAGAGGUGUUGACAAAAAUAAAAUACGGACAUGAGGGCAUCAUGAUCAUUCUUAGAACAUCAACUUAUAGAAUUCUUGUCAUAUGAUCUCUUAUGCUAGAGUAACAAUUCAAUCACAAUUUCAAGUAUGAAUCAUAAACUUCAUUGACAACUAACAAAUUAUAAUCUCGGUCAUUGGAGCAAUUGCAAUUUAUCAUAACAUAGGAAAGAGUCAAUAUAAGAGCUUUUCAACAAGUCCACAUACUCAACUAUCAUAUAGUCUUUCAGAAUUGCUAACACUCACACAAUACUUAUGGGUAUGGAGAUUUAAUCGGACACAGAGAAAGAUAGGGGCUUAUAGUUUUGCCUCCCAACGUUUUACCUCAAGGGUAAUGUCAACAAUAAUAGUUCAUGAAAACUCACAUCCAAUUAGCCAUAUAUAUCAGGAUCUUUCCAACAUAUUGUGCUUGCCAAAGGACAAAAUGUAAAAAGGAAGGGUGAAGAUCACCAUGACUCUUAUGCAAGGUAGGAGAUAAAAGUAAAAGAUAGGCCCUUCGCAGAGGGAAGCAGAGGUUGUCAUGCGCUUUUAUGGUUGGAUGCACAAAAUCUUAAUGUGAAAGAACGUCACUUUAUAUUGCCACUUGUGAUAUGGACCUUUAUUAUGCAGUCUGUCUCUUUUAUUUCUUCCAUAUCACACGAUCGUAUAAAGCUUAUUUUCUCCCACACUAAUAAGUCAUACAUAUUUAGAGAGCAAUUUUUAUUGCUUGCACCGAUGACAACUUACUUGAUGAUCUUACUCAAUCCAUAGGUAGGUAUGGUGGACUCUCAUGGCAAAACUGGUUUAAGGGUAUUUGGAAGCACAAGUAGUAUCUCUACUUGGUGCGAUGAAUAUGGCUAGCAUGAGGGGGAAAGGCAAGCUCAACCAUGUUGGAUGAUCCAUGACAAUAUAAUUUAUCUCAGAUGUAAGAAAACAUAACCCAUUACGCUGUCUUCCUUGUCCAACGUCAACUCUUUAGCAUGUCACAUUUUAAUGAGUGCUCACAAUCAUAAAAGAUGUCCAAGAUAGUAUAUUUAUAUGUGAAGACCUCUCUUUCUUUAUUACUUCCUAUUAAUUGCAACGAUGACCAAAAAAUUGUUUGUCAACUCUCAACAACUUUUAUUCAUCAUACUUUUCUAUGUGAGCUCAUUACUCUCCAUAAGAUCCAUAUGAUCUCUUUUAUUUAUUUUUAUUCUUUCUUCCUUUCUUUUAUUCACUCAAGAUCAUGGCAAAAGAAUCAAGCCCUUGACUCAACACUAAUCUUUACUAUAUAUAGCUCACGGACUCGAUUACAUAGAAGGAUCAUAAAGCAAAACUCACAACUAGAUCAUACUAAAAACUUUAUACUACUAGAUCAAGAUAUUACCAAAAGGAUCGAACUAAGAAAAGCGGUAAAGAUAAAAGUGAUGGUGAUACGAUACCGGGGCACUCCCCCAAGCUUGGAAGUUGCCAAGGGGAGUGCCCAUACCCAUGUGAUUAUAUCUCUUUUGUCGGUGAAGAAGUUAUUGGUGAUGAUGGAUAGUCACACAUCGAGCGUGGGAGAUCUUCCAACUUGUGGAUAAUGCCCUUGAGUGAAAUGAUAUGCUCCUUCAACAAAAUAUUUUCACGUGUAAGAUACUUAUUUUGUAUACGAGCUAAAUAAAUCAUCUUGAAAGCUUUGAUCUCAGUUGGGGUAAGAAGAUUGUGAUCAAGUUGAAGAAUGUCUUCUGUUGCCGGCACUUGGUCCUCCGUGGCCUUCUUGAUCCCUUCAUCCUUGUUGAUCUCCAUGGGUUCUUCUCUCUUCAGCUCUAUCUUCAUUAGCCAAGCAUCGUUGACCUCAUGGUUGGAGGAGGAGGGAGACGACAUAAUGCCUAGUCUUGACAACCCUGACAAAAAGCAGCUCGAAACAAAGACAAGAGAUAUUUGCGUGAUACGGGAGUCAAAACCUCCGGGAGAUUAUAUAAUGAAUUUUUACCGACCAAAAUACGUAACGUGUAAGAAAACGGAGUCCGGAGAGCACUCGAGGUGCCCACGAGGUAGGGGGGCGCGCCCAGGGGGUAGGGCGCGCCCUCCACCCUCGUGGAGCCCUCGUGUCCUUUCCGGACUGCUUCUUAUUUUUCUAUUUUUCUAAAUAUUCAAAAACGGAAGAAAAUUGCCAUUAGAAUUGUUUUGGAGUCGGUUUACUUACCGUACCACAUACCUAUUCCUUUUCAGAGUCUGAAACAUUCCGGAAAGUGUCCCUUAUGUAUUCCUCCGGGGUUACAGUUUCAAUAACAUUGGUUUCAACAUUUACAUGAUUACUUGAGAUAUAAUGUUUAAUUCUUUGACCAUUCACCACCUUCAGAUUUGUGCCUUCGAAGUUGUUGCUUUUAUGGCACCGGAAUGAUAGACCUCCUCGAUAACGUAUAAUAAUACAUAAUCACCUACAUUAAAAUCAUGCUUUUGUAUUCUUUUGUCAUGCCAUCUUUUAACUUUUUCUUUAAACAAUUUGGCAUUCUCAUAGGCUUGGGUUCUCCAUUCAUCAAGUGAGCUAAUGUCAAAUAACCUCUUCUCACCGGCAAGUUUAAAAUCAUAGUUGAGCUCUUUAAUAGCCCAAUAAGCCUUAUGUUCUAGUUCGAGAGGUAAGUGACAUGCCUUUCCAUAAACCAGUUUAUACGGAGACAUCCAUAGGAUUUUUAUAUGCAGUUCUAUAGGACCAUAAUGCAUCAUCAAGUUUCUUGGACCAAUUCUUUCUAGAUCUAUUAACAGUCUUUUGCAAAAUUAAUUUGAGUUCUCUGUUGCUCAAUUCUACUUGACCACUAGACUGUGGGUGAUAAGGAGAUGUAAUUCUAUGAUUAACAUCAUAUUUAGCAAGCAUUCUACGGAAAGCACCGUGAAUAAAAUGUGAACCACCAUCAGUCAUUAAAUAUCUAGGGACUCCAAACCUUGGAAAAAUAACUUCUUUAAGCAUUUUAAUAGAAGUGUUAUGAUCAGUACUACUAGUUGGAAUAGCUUCUACCCACUUAGCAACGUAAUCAACAACAACUAAAAUAUGUGUAUAUCCAUUAGAGGCAGGAAAAGGUCCCAUAUAAUCAAAGCCCCAAGCAUCAAAUGGUUCAAUAACAAGUGAAUAAUUCAUAGGCAUUUCUUGACGUCUACUAAUAUUACCAAUUCUUUGACAUUCAUCACAAGACAAGACAAACUUACGGGCAUCCUUGAAGAGAGUAGGCCAAUAAAAACCGGAUUGCAAUACCUUGUGUGUAGUUCUAUCUCUAGCAUGGUGUCCUCCAUAAGCCUCGGAGUGACACUUGCGUAGGAUCUGUUCAUGUUCAUGCUCAGGUACACAACGUCUAAUAACACCAUCUACUCCUUUAUAAAGAUGUGGGUCAUCCCAAAAGUAAUGUCUCAAAUCAUAGAAGAACUUUUUCUUUUGUUGGUAUGUGAAACUAAGUGGUAUAAAUUUAGCAACAAUGUAAUUAGCAUAAUCAGCAUACCAUGGAGCAGUAUGAGAAGCAUUUAUGACAUUUAAUUGUUCAUCAGGAAAGCUAUCAUCAAUAGGUAGUGGGUCAUCAUGCACAUUCUCUAGCCUAGACAAGUUGUCUGCAACGGGGUUCUCAGCACCCUUUCUAUCAAUAAUAUGCAAAUCAAAUUCUUGUAGCAAGAGAACCCAUCUAAUAAGUCUAGGUUUAGCAUCUUUCUUUUCCAUAAGAUAUUUAAUAGCAGCAUGAUCAGUGUGAAUAGUUACUUUAGAAUCAACAAUAUAAGGUCUGAACUUAUCACAAGCAAAUACAACUGCUAAGAAUUCCUUUUCAGUAGUAGCAUAAUUUCUCUGAGCAUUAUCUAGAGUUUUACUAGCAUAUUGAAUAGCAUUUAAUUUCUUAUCAACUCUUUGCCCUAGAAUAGCACCUAUAGAAUAAUCACUAGCAUCACACAUAAUUUCAAAGGGUAAAUUCCAAUCAGGUGGCUGAACAAUAGGUGCAGAGAUCAAUGCUUUCUUAAGUAUUUCAAAUGCUUCUACACAAUCAUCAUCAAAGACAAAUGGUAUAUCUUUUUGUAAUAAAUUAGUCAGAGGCCGAGAAACUUUGAGAAGUCCUUAAUGAACCUCCUAUAAAAACCGGCAUGACCAAGAAAACUUCUUAUACCUUUGAUGUCCUUGGGACAUGGCAUCUUUUCAAUAGCAUCAACCUUGGCUUUAUCAACUUCAAUACCUCUUUCAGAAACUUUAUGCCCCAAGACAAUACCUUCAUUAACCAUAAAGUGGCACUUUUCCCAAUUCAAGACAAGAUUAGUUUCUUCACAUCUCUGCAAAACUUGAUCAAGGUUGCUUCAGCAAUCAUCAAAAGAGGAUCCAUAGACGGAAAAAUCAUCCAUGAAAACCUCACAAAUCUUUUCACAAAAGUCAGAGAAUAUAGCCAUCAUGCAUCUUUGAAAGGUAGCAGGUGCAUUGCAUAAACCAAAAGGCAUACGUCUAUAAGCAAAAGUACCAAAAGGGCAAGUAAAAGUAGUCUUUGAUUGAUCAUUGGCUGACACAGGUAUUCGAGAGAAACCAGAAUAACCAUCUAGAAAGCAAAAAUGUGUAUGUUUGGAUAAUCUUUCUAGCAUUUGAUCGAUAAAAGGUAAGGGGUAAUGAUCUUUUUUAGUAGCUUUAUUUAAUUUGCGGAAAUCAAUUACCAUCCUAUAACCUGUAAUAAUUCUUUGCGGGAUCAACUCAUCUUUAUCAUUAGGAACGAUAGUAAUACCUCCCUUCUUAGGGACAGAAUGGACAGGACUUACCCACUGACUAUCAGCAACGGGAUAAAUUAUACCUGCCUCAAGAAGUUUUAGUAUUUCCUUUCUUACGACUUCCUCCAUCUUAGGAUUCUGCCGUCGUUGAUGAUCACAAAUUGGUUUGGCACCUUCCUCUAAAUUUAUUUUGUGUUGACACAGAGUGGGACUAAUGCGCUUAAGAUCAUCAAGAGUAUAUCCAAUAGCAGCACGGUGCUUGUUCAGAGUUUUCAAUAAUCUCUCUUCCUCAUGCUCUGAAAGGUUAGCACUAAUAAUAAUAGGAUAUAUCUUUUUCUCAUCAAGAUAAGCAUAUUUAAGAGUAUCAGGUAACGGUUUAAGCUCAAACAUGGGAUCACCCUUGGGUGGAGGAGGAUCCCCUAGGAUUUCAACAGGCAAAUUGUGUUUUAGGAUGGGUUCCUAUUUAAAUAAUACUUCAUCUAUUUCCCUUCUCUCAUUCAUGAACAUAUCAUUUUCAUGGUCUAGCAAAUAUUGUUCUAAAGGAUCACUAGGAGGUACGACAAUAGAAGCAAGACCAAUAAUUUCAUCUUUAUUAGGCAAUUCCUCUUCACGGUGUUGUCUACGAAAUUUAGAGAAAUUAAAUUCAUGAGACAUAUCACCUAAACCAAUAGUAACAACAUCCUUUUUGCAAUCUAUCUUAGCAUUAACAGUGUUCAAGAAGGGUCUACCAAAUAUAAUGGGACAAAAGCUAUCUUGUGGGGAACCAAGAACAAGAAAAUCAGCAGGAUAUUUAGUUUUCCCACGCAAGACUUCAACAUCUCUAACAAUUCCAAUUGGUGAAAUAGUAUCUCUAUUGGCAAGUUUAAUUGUGACAUCAAUAUCUUCUAUAUCAGCAGGUGCAAUAUCAUGCAUUAUUUCUUUGUAUAAGUCAUGAGGUAUAGCACUAGCAGUGGCACCCAUAUCACAUAAGCCAUGAUAACAAUGAUCUCCUAUUUUAACAGAAAUAACAGGCAUGCCUGCCAAAGAUCUAGGUUUAUCUUUAGCACAAGGUUUAGCAAUUCUAAUAGUCUCAUCACGGAAAUGAAUAACAUGCCCAUCAAUAUUAUCAGACAAGAGAUCUUUAACAAUAGAAAUAUUAGGUUCAACUUUAAUUUGCUCAGGAGGUGUAUAAGUUCUAAUAUUGCUUUUACGAACCAUAGUUGAAGCUUUAGCAUGAUCCUUUAUCCUAAUAGGGAAAGGUGGUUUCUCAACAUAAGAAGUAGGAACAAUAGGAUCAUUAUAAGUGAUAGUCUUUUCUUCAACUUUAAUAGGUGCAGCUACUUUUACUUCUAUGGGAGGAUGAAAAUUAAACCACUUCUCCCUAGGGAGAUCAACAUGAGUAGCAAAAUAUUCACAGAAGGAAGUUAUUAUCUCAGAGUCAAGUCCAUAUUUAGUGCUAAAUUUACGAAAAACAUCGGUAUCCAUAAAAUAUUUAACACAAUCAAAUUUAGGUGUCAUAGCUGACUCCUUACCUUUGUCGAGGUCCCAAUCUUCAGAGUUGCGUUUAAUUCUUUCCCUUAAAUCCCAUUUGAAUUCAAUAGUCUUCGUCAUAAAAGAGCCAUCACAGGAAGUAUCGAGCAUGGUGCGAUUGUUAUCAGAAAGCCGAGCAUAUAAAUUUUGAAUAAUCAUUUCUUUUGAGAGCUCAUGAUUGGGGCAUGAAUAUAACAUUGAUUUAAGCCUUCCCCAAGCUUGAGCGAUACUUUCUCCUUCGCGAGGCCAAAAAUUAUAUAUAUAAUUGCGAUCAUGAUGAACAAGAUGCAUAGGAUAAAACUUCUGAUGAAAUUCCAAUUUCAAUCGUUUGUAGUUCCAUGACCCCGUAUCAUCACAUAGCCUAUACCAUGUCAAUGCAUCUUCCUACAAAGAUAAAGGGAAGACCUUCUUCUUAAUAACAUCUCCAGGUACACCUGCAAGCUUAAAUAAUCCACUAACUUCAUCCACAUGUAUUAGGUGCUCAUCAGGAUGCGUUGUUCCGUCUCCUGUAAAAGGAUUAGCUAGCAGUUUUUCUAUCAUACCCGAAGGAAUUUCAAAGCAGACAUUUUCAUUUUCAGUAGGUUGAGGAACAACUCUUUGCUCUACUGGUCGGGGUGAAGAUAUCCCGAACAAUCCCCUCAGAGGAUUACUUUCCAUAGUAACAAGGGACAGUAAAUUUCAGCACACUAUAUAAAUUUUUCCUUACCAAAUUCCACCUACCAAAGGCGCUUCACUCUCCGGCAACGGCGCCAGAAAAGAGUCUUGAUGAUCCAAAAGUAUAGGGGAUCUAUCAUAGUCCUUUCGAUAAGUAAGAGUGUCGAACCCAACGAGGAGCGGAAGGAAAUGAUAAGCGGUUUUCAGCAAGGUAUUCUCUGCAAGCACUGAAAUAAUAGGUAACCGAUAGUUUUGUGAUAGGAAAUUUGUAAUGAGUAACAAGUAACAAAAGUAAAUAAAGUGCAGCAAGGUGGCCCAAUCCUUUUUGUAGUAAAGGACAAGCCUGGACAAACUCUUAUAUGAUGUAAAGCGCUCCUGAGGACACCUGGGAAUAUCGUCAAGCUAGUUUUCGUCACGAUCAUAUGAUUUGCGUUCGGUACUUUGAUAAUUUGGAAUGUGGGUGGACCGGUGCUUGGGUACUGUCCUUACAUGGACAAGCAUCCCACUUAUGAUUAACCUCUAUUGCAAGCAUCCACAACUACAACAAAAGUAUUAAGGUAAACCUAACCAUAGCAUGAAACAUAUGGAUCCAAAUCAGCCCCUUACGAAGCAACACAUAAACUAGGGUUUAAGCUUCUGUCACUCUAGCAACCCAUCAUCUACUUAUUACUUCCCAAUGCCUUCUUCUAGGCCCAAAUAAUGGUGAAGUGUCAUGUACUCGACGUUCACAUAACACCACUAGAGGAGAGACAACAUACAUCUCAUCAAAAUAUCGAACGAAUACCAAAUUCACAUGACUACUAAUAGCAAGACUUCUCCCAUGUCCUCAGGAACAAACGUAACUACUCACAAAGCAUAUUCAUGUUCAUAAUCAGAGGGGUAUUAAUAUGCAUAUAGGAUCUGAACAUAUGAUCUUCCACCAAAAAACCAACUAGCAUCAACUACAAGGAGUAAUUAAUACUACUAGCAACCCACGGGUACCAAUCCCGGGCUUAGAGACAAGAAUUGGAUACAAGAGAUGAACUAGGGUUUUGAGAGGAGAUGGUGCUGGUGAAGAUGUUGAUGGAGAUUGCCCUCUCCCGAUGCGAGGAGCGUUGGUGAUGAUGAUGGCGAUGAUUUCCCCCUCCCAGAGGGAAGUUUCCACGGAAGAACAGCUCCGCCAGAGCCCUAGAUUGGUUCCGCCAAGGUUCCGCCUCAUGGUGGCGGAGUCUCGUGCAGAAAGAUGGCUUAUGAUUUUUUCCUCAUCGAAAGACUCCAUAUAGGAGAAGAUGGCCAUCAGAGGGCCACCAGGGGGCCCACGAGGUAGCGGGGCGCGCCCAGGGGGGUAGGGCGCGCCCCCCACCCUCGUGGGCAGGGUGUGGCCCCCUUGGUGAACUUCUUGCGCUCAAUAUUUUUAUAUAUUGUGAAAACGUCUUUCGUGAAGUUUCAGGACUUUUGGAGCUGUGCAGAAUAGGUCUCUAAUAUUUGCUCCUUUUCCAACCCAGAAUCCCAGCUGCCAGCAUUCUCCCUCUCUAUGUAAACCUUGUAAAAUAAGAGAGAAUAGGCAUAAGUAUUGUGACAUAAUGUGUAAUAACAUCCCAUAAUGCAAUAAAUAUCGAUAUAAAAGCAUGAUGCAAAAUGGACGUAUCAUCUGCCAACUUUCUUUUCUCGCACACGAGUAUUUUACACGCUUCGUCUACAUUGUGUGUUUGCCCCACCCAAGUUUCAAGUUUCACAGCGAAAUUUUCAUUUGGCGCGCGAUUUCAGAAUUUAUUCCUCCAACCACAUCCCCACCCUCAGUAUCCCCCCUCGCACCUCCCCCUACCGGCAUCUCAAACCGCCGCCGUCGCAACCAUAGCUUCAACCACAUCUACGUUCUGCUUAGAUCCAAUCAGGUAACCCACCGAUCUCUAUCACAGCCGCGCCUGAUUGCUUAAAUGAUGCAUGCGAAACAUCCUCAUGCCUCCAAAUCCCCACUGCCAGGAGCUGAUGGCGGUCCAUGGCGCGAUGGCUGCUGUGUGUGUUGACCCGGAGGAACACCUCGCCUUCGCCGAUAUGGUGCAUGCUCUGGCCCAGAUGACGUGCCCCAGCACUACCACCUAGGACUUAACAUGUAAGAUUUGACCAGCUAAAUCUUACCAAUACCACUUGCAACAACUACGAUUUGUACGGUUAAUGUAUUAACCAUGUUCAUGCCUUGUUUAUUUUAGUAGUACACACCGUGUGAUGUUCAAAUAUUACCAUGUGCAGCUAAGGAUGGCAAUGGGUCGGGUUUGGACUGGGUUGAACAAUAUCAAAUCCAUAUCCAUAUCCAUGAAGACAGUCUUUGCCCGCCCAUGAAAAAAUCCAUGGGUGAAAAAUUGUGUCUAUGUCCAAAUCCGAUGGAUAUCCAUAUCCACUGGAUAUCCAUUGGGUCCUCUCGAGACAUAUAAAUAAGACUUAACACAAUAUUAACAUAAACUCUUCCAUUCUUCACCUCGUGGCAGGCUAGGCUUCACUUAGGGUAAAUCAACAUCCAGUAAAAACCUAAGAUCAUUUAGUAUUUUUCUAACAGAUGAGAAUGACGAGUCAUUUAAGAAGGAGAUAAAAUAAGGGAAGGAGUGUUGGAGUAUAUUAUAGAGGGGAUUGAUUAUCAACUUAUAAAAGUUAUGAUGGGGAUUGUGUAAUUUCUUAUGCAUGUUUUAGAUAAAAAUGUGUAAAAUUGCCGUGGGACAUGUGAACGUGGGGCAGGGAUGGCAGAUUUUUUUCCAUUAAGUCAUACUAUCGGGUCGGAUUUGGAUAUAUCCAUGGGUACAAGAUUAUAUCCAUGCCCUACCCAUGAACAAUCGGGUCGGGUUUGGGCGCCGCCCAUGGACACAAAAGCAUAUCCAAACCCUAUCCAUUCGAGUCGGAUAUCCAUGGAUAUCCAUGUCCAUGGAUAAAAUUGCCAUCCUUAUGUGUAGCUCAAUUUCACCAAUAUCAGCAACAAACUUACAAUACAUGAGUCAGGAUAUCACUAGAGAUGCUGCCCAUUUGCUAUUUUUAGUGGAUGCUAACCAUGUUGUACUUAACAUGCCUGUCCAUGCACUUACGCAGGGUCAUAACGACCGAUGUUGUUGUUUGUCGUCGAGGUUAGCUGCAUCCCAUGUCUUACAGUAUCACAUCAUUUGUGCAAUUGCAGUUUAACUUUUACCAUUUACUGGUUGCCUGUAGGUGCACAUGUCAGUGGCACUGAUCCACGCUUCAACCCGGAGGAACAGCUCGCCUUUGGUGCCGCUGACUUUGGGCGGGCUCUGGCCAAGAUGAAGUGCCCCAGCAACCACCUCUCAGGACUUACCAAGUAUGUACUCACCCAGUUCAAUCUUACCAAUACCAGUUGCAAUUAAUGGCUAUGUUUUGUAUGGUCGAUGUAUUAAGCAUGUUGUAGUAAACAUGCCUAACACGUUUUAGUUAUUUUCCCUAUCUUUUUAUAGACAACUGGGCCAUUAUCUGCUCUGGCAGCACCUGCCCUGUGAUGUUUAACUCUGCCAAUUGCAUUUUUUUCAGUAUCGGUUUCAAUGGCCAUUAAGCCUGUUGCAAUUAAUAGUUGUAUACAUUUUUAAAGAGUUGUAUUUCAAUGGCUAAAAACUUACAAAACAUGAACAUUGGCUUUCCAUAGAUGCUGUCGUUUUAUUACCAUUUGCUAUUUUUGGUGGAUGUUAACCCUGUUGUAGUAGACAUUGGCUUUCCAUGUACUUACACAGGGCUACAAUGGGCGAUGUUGUUGUUUGCCGUCGAGGUUAGCUGCAUCUCAUGUCUUGUACACCAUCUAUUCCUAAAUAUAAGUAUUUUUAGAGAUUUCAAUAUAGACUACGUAAGGAGCAAAAUGAGUGAAUCUAGAUUCUAAUCUAAACUAUAUCUAUAAUUCUAUAUACAUCCGUAUGUAGUUCAUAUUGAAAUCUUAAAAAAAUACUUGUACUUAGGAACAUAGGUACUUGUAUUUUACAUCAUUUGUGCAAUCCAAGGUUGUUAGAAUCGCGAUUCUGUUAUACGAUUCUACGACUUUACGAUCCAAACUAACCCCUAUGAUUCUACGAUUUUAGUUCUUAGAAUCUACGUUUCUACGAUCUUGAUAGUGGAGAUUCUAUGAUUUGCAAUCCUACCAUCAAAGCUCCGAUCCGAUUCAAAAUCGCGAUUCUGACAACCUUGGUGCAAUCUCAAUUUAGCUUCUAACAUUUACUGUUUGCUUGUAGGUACAUAUAUGAGCGGUACUGAUCCACGCUUCGAUCCCUUUUGCGUAUGGGACAAUGAGAUAUUCAUGAACAAGCGUCAAGUAAGGAAACUAAGAAAGAUCUUUAGGCGAAAGAAACAGGUGAUUGGAAUUAAGAUCUUUAUUUACACUUUGUCCAAGACAAUAGUGAACUUUAGGAUGGUAAGUACCGUGUUGCCUUUUCCCCCUGCCCACAACAAGUUACUCUAUUAGACCUCAGUAUCUGAUAUUUUUCUCUUUUCAGUGGUUUCCAAAGCUAUUUACUAAUGAUUACCUUGCAAACUACAUGACCGGAGUGGAGGCAACUAAGGUUGAAGUAUAUAAUUCAUGCUACCAUGAUAAUGCUCUAGAAGUCUUCCUGAAGGCGGUGAAGGAUGGGCGGGCGAUUGUCACAAGGGGUUGGACAAAAGUGGUUCGUGCCUAUGGCAUGCAGGAAGGCAGAUUAUGGGCAUUCCGCUUCUUCAACACUGUCGGUAGUCAAAAUGAUUUACACUUGUCUCUUCACCUUUACUGCCUUUAAAUAUUGUGGUUCAUCAUAGUUAAUUGAUGCCUAGUCCUGUAAUUACUAAACAUAUUGUAUUGACAAUUUUAUUUAUGGAUUCGUUGUUGAACCAUUGUGCUAAGAAUUUGAAUUGCACGUUUCAUAUUUCAAAAUUUCCAAUUCGAUAAUAAAUUACAGGCAAAAAUAAAAAUAUACAGGAGCUUAUAAAAUAAUGUGCACACGGUUAGAAAGAAAACAUCAUGUGCGAUGUAAAAAGAGAACAGACGGUCAUGGAACUUUGCAAACGGUUCUGGUAGUAAAAGCGCAUGUGAUGGAUAGCCCAAUGCCACACAAUUUUCUACAUCAAAUCGUGUGUGAUGUAGUUCAUAAAAGCAAACAGUUAACCAAGGCAGAGCGUGUGUGAUAGUUACACCUUUCACACACGAGUGUAUACAUAAAAUUGUGUGGGAUGCACAUACGAACGGAAAUGUUUUCCCUGGAUUGACUGUGUGGGAUGUACAUAAGAACGGAAACGUAUUCCUUGGAUUGACUGUGUGUGAUAUAGAUACCUACGGAAAUGUUUUUUCUGGGAUUCAUCGUGUGGGAUGUACAUACCUAUGAAAUGAUUGGGUUUCGAUGCCUCGCCCGAUCGCACACGAGCUCAUUUGGUGUCCUAGGAGGGUCUAUCCCCAACGAUUUUUGGGUCAUGUGGGAAGGACCCCCCUAUCGCCCACACUCACUUGGCGACGGUUCCAAAUGCCCUUGCGGAAAGGGGUUUAAAACCGUUUGUAUAGCACCGAUGCAUACCAGCGUCUAAGAACCUGACAUUGGUUUGUGUGUUAGAACCCUUUGAGAGUUCGACCAGUGAAUGAACGCACUACAUUUCCUAGGUCAUCGAUCAUUGGAGUAAGGUAGGCAGAAAAUAGAGCACACCGGAGCUACCCAGGUUCAGGCCACCAUCUAGGUGUAAUACCCUGCUACUGCUUUAGGAUGUUAUUGUUGUAUGUUCUCGAUGAACUGGCUACAAUGUGUGUUGUAACUUGUGAGUGAGUCAACGCUUCCGAGGUCGCUCCCGCCUCCCUUUUAUACAGAGCCAUGUCCCCCCCCUUCAUCCGAUGGGAGGCUGCCACAUGUCCUGAUCCUAGUAGGGUAGAAAAAAGGGGAGAACGCCCAUAUCGGCCUAACCCGAUGGGGCACGCAUGCUUGCCCAUGCACCGGCAGACCUCGGGGUAAGGGGCCUAAGUUGUGGAUCUCAGACGGAUGGUAACAGGAACAAGGAGAUAGUGUUUUCCUAGGUUCGGGCCCUCUUGAUGGAGGUAAAACCCUAUGUCCUGCUCUUGUUUAUAAUUAUGGAGAUGUAUCGAGUAUAGAGUUGAUCUACCUCGAGAUCAUAAGAUGUGUUCUAGCUCUAGGGCUAGGUGAAUGAGAUUGCGUUGAUGUCCCCCCUACGGGCUUAACCACUUGGCUUAUAUACACACUAGGUAGGGAAUCUAGGGUUACAAAGUCGGUAUCUCUGCGUGGAGGCGGCAGGAGAAGUCUUGGAGUAUACGCCAAGUCUUCGAUAAAUAUAGUCUUGAUCACACCCCCAUCAUGUGGCUCCAGGAGUCAAUCUUGAGAUGAAUGAGGGCCCACCAUCCCAUCCUGAGGAGCAUGGGCCGACAAGGUUAGUACCCCUUAGUCCAGGACACUAGUGGCGGAUCCAGGAUUUGAAGUUACCCGGGGCAGACUUUUAAAAUAAAUAAAAAAUUGAAUCUACUAUAUAAUCAAGUAAGACAAUCAAUAAAUUUUAUUGGUCAACUAUACAUUCAGGCAACACGGUCAACAUAAUUAAUUAUUGAAAAUAGUUUCAUUCUUAAGAAUUGGAAAAUAAAUAUAUAACACAAUUUUUUAAUAAAGUCUAACUUGGACUCCCGGUUGUUGAAUCUUCCUUUAUUUAUCCAAAAAUGUCUAACUUUCAAGUCCAUUACAAUACCUAAAACUUGUCAAAAUAGAUUAAUUUAAAUCUUAGCACAACAUGACACUUGUUCAAAAAAAUAUAAGACAAGUUUUUGCCACUAAAGUUGCCAAUGUUGGCUGCUCGAUUGUAGUUUUGAGCAGAUGACACUAGAAACAAGGGACUCCAUUCUCCUUCCCCAUCUAGCACUUGGAUGGACCUGGGCAGCGCCAGAGGAAUUGGCUUCAAAUUGACUGCAACCGGAAACAUUAAGCCCGACUACGUUUAAAAAUUAAUGGGCUAAUCUCAUCUUUCAUUGGGCCUUACUUGACUUACCCAUCUCCUAGUGAAUCAUGGCCUAUCGUGUAUCUCUCCUAGCGAACCGUUUCUUUCCUCUCCUCUCUUCCUGCUCGUUGCUCAACCUCAACUGACAUGAAUCUGCUCGCUUCCCAUGGUAGACAUGCCAAAGUAGCAGGUGGGAUACCCUAGGUUCUCAAAAUUUACCCAGGGCGGCUGCCCAUACAUGACCCCACGCUAGCGCCGCCCCUGUAGGACACCAUCAGUACCCCCCAAACUGGUCUUCUAUGCCGAUGACGAUUUCCUUGACGAAGAUAACCUCGGAUCCGGAGUCCUUAGCUUGAUAGACGAGUUCCCCUUUGUGACUUUAAGAUCCUGAACCGCUCUUUAAAGAGGUAGUGUCUCGCAAUCAAGACUUAGUCGGGCUCGCACCUUGCCCGAGGAGGUGUGAAUAGUGCUACCUAGCAUGAUAACUUUAUCAAAAUGGCGCAACCCACGACGGGUCGGGCAAUUACUGCUUACCCCAAAUCAUGACCCGAGGUAGCCUUUUUACUGGAGCAUCCCAUCGGAGUGGAGAUCGUGCUCGUUUGCUUAGGGAUAUCAUCAAAUUUUGUUUCCCCCCAUACACAUGACAUAUUUUGCGGGGGAGUGGUGUUUUUACCUACGUAGAAAGGGGGACUCUUGGCCUUUCAUCAGCCUAUAAGAGUAAGAAAACAAUAGUGCCAACAAGAUCACUCCCAUAUCCCCCACAUGCUGCCUUCUCGAGCUCUAGCGCCCAGAUCGAAUCUCGCUUUCCUCAUCCACAAUGCGCUCAAGCCCCCCCCCCCCACCUAGCCAUGGCCGACACCCUUAAGGGGCACUGGGGUGGCUCCGUCGUGAUGGAGGGCACCAUCUUGGAGCUGAGUAGUGCAGGAUACAUCCCUGCCAACAUGGCUGCCGCGCUCCUAGCGCCAACCAACAGGUGCCCGCUUGAUUGCUUGUAAUCUACGUUGGUAAUUCCCCGAAGAGGAGGGGAUGAUGCAACACAUCAAUGGUAAGUAUUUCCCUCAGUUAUGAAACCAAGGUUAUUAACCUAGUAGGAGAACCAAGAAACACUAUGUAAACAACACCUGCACACAAACAACAAAAACUUGCAACCCAACGCGUGAAGGGGUUGUCAAUCCCUCAACGGUAUUGGGAUAGAUUAAAUUGUAUGAGAUUGGAUAAAUAGAUCCAGCAAAAACACAAAAUAAAAUAAAGAAAGAAAAAUUGCAGCAAGGUAUUUUUGGUUUUAAUAUGAUAGGAAAAUAGACCCCGGGGUCGUAGUUUUCACUAGAGGCUUCUCUCAAGAAAAUAGCAUAUGGUGGGUAAACAAAUUACUGUUGGGCAAUUGACAGAAAAGCAAAUAAUUAUUACGAUAUCCAAGGCAAUGAUAAUGUAUAUAGGCAUCACGUCCAAGAUUAGUAGACCGACUCCUGCCUGCAUCUACUACUAUUACUCCACACAUCGACUGUUAUUCAGCAUGCAUCUCGUGUAUUAAGUUCAUGGAGAAACGGAGUAAUGCAAUAAGAACGAUGACAUGAUGUAGACAAGAUAAACCCACAUAUGAAUAAACCCCAUCUUGUUACCCUUAAUAGCAAUGAUACAUGCAUGUCAUGUACCCUUUCUGUCACUGAGAUUGAGCACCGCAAGAUCGAACCCAUCACAAAGCACCUCUUCCCAUGGCAAGAUAAAUCAAUCUAGUUGGCCAAACCAAACUAAUAAAUCAGAGAAGAAACACGAAUCUAUAAAGAUCAUGCAUAAAAUAGUUCAAAGAAGACUCAAAUAAUAUCACGAAUAGAUCUGAUCAUCAACUCACAAUUCAUCGGAUCCCAACAAACACACUGCAAAAAAGUAGUUGCAUCAAAUAGAUCUCCAAGAACAUCGAGGUGUAUUGAAGAUCAAAAGGAGAGAAGCCAUCUAGCUACUAGCUACGGACCCGUAGGUUUGUGGUAAACUACUCACGCAUCAUCAGAGGGGCAACAAGUAAGGAUGGCAAUUUUAUCCAUGGACAUGGAUAUCCAUGGAUAUCCGACCCGAAUGGAUAGGGUUUGGAUAUGCUUUUGUGUCCAUGGGUGGCGCCCAAACCCGACCCGAUUGUUCGUGGGUAGGGCAUGGAUAUAAUCUUGUACCCAUGGAUAUAUCCAAAUCUGACCCGAUAGUAUGACUUAAUGGAAAAAAAAUCUGCCAUCCCUGCCCCACGUUCACAUGUCCCACGGCAAUUUUACACAUUUUUUAUCUAAAACAUGCAUAAGAAAUUACACAAUCCCCAUCAUAACUUUUAUAAGUUGAUAAUCAAUCCCCUCUGUAAUAUACUCUAACACUCCUUCCCUUAUUUUAUCUCCUUCUUAAAUGACUCGUCAUUCUCAUAUGUUAGAAAAAUACUAAAUGAUCUUAGGUUGUUACUGGAUGUUGAUUUACCAUAAGUGAAGCCUAGCCUGCCACGAGGUGAAGAAUGGAAGAGUUUAUGUUAAUAUUGUGUUAAGUCUUAAUUUAUAUGUCUCGAGAGGACCCAAUGGAUAUCCAGUGGAUAUGGAUAUCCAUCGGAUUUGGACAUGGACACAAUUUUCCACCCAUGGAUUUUUUCAUGGGCGGGCAAAGACUGUCUUCAUGGAUAUGGAUAGGGAUUUGAUAUUGUUCAACCCGGUCCAAACCCGACCCAUUGCCAUCCUUAGCAACAAGGAUGAUGAAGAACCCCUCUGUGAUCUUUGCCCCCUCCGCCAGAGUGCCGGAAAAGGCCUCUAGAUUGGAUCUUGUGGUUCUGGGACUUGUGCCAGUUGGUAAAGUGUUUCAUAGACUCCCCUAGGGUUUUUGAGAUUUUAGAGUAUUUAUAGAGGCAGAGGUAGGUAAAGAAGCUUUUCGUGGAUUCCACUACCCACCAGGGCGUGCCUGGGGCCUCUGGUGCGCCCUGGUGCCUAGUGGGCCCCAUGGGCCUCCUCUUGUGUGCUCCUUCGGCUCCCUGGGUAUCUUCUGGGCCGAAACAAAUCUCCAAAAAGUUUCACGGUAUUCGUUUGGUAUUGAUAUUCUGCAAAGUAAAAAACAAGCAAAAAAACAGCAACUCGCACCGGGCACUAUGUCGAUAGGUUAGUCCCAAAAAAUGAUAUAAAGUUGCUAGUAAAUGUAUAUAAAACAUCCAACAUUGAUAAUGUAAUAGCAUGGGACGAUAAAAUAUUAUAUAUACGUUGGAUACGUAUCAGCAUCCCCAAGCUUAAUUCCUGCUCGUCCUCGAGUAGGUAAAUGAUAAAAACAAAAUUUUUGGUGUGGAAUGCUUCGUAAUAUAUUCAUCAUAUAUUCUUUUCUUUUGUAGCAUGGACAUUUGGACUUCAAGUGAUUCAAAGCAAUAGUCUAUAAUUUGACAUGAAGACAUCAAUACUCAAGCAUAUCAACAAGCAACCAUGUCUUGUAGAAUAUCAAUGCUAAAGAAAUCUAUCCCUAACCCAUCAUGCUCAAUCAUGGAUCCAUCCAUGAAACACACUCAAAUAUUAGCUACAUCCAAUGCAAAAGUAUGACAAUAGUGUUCCCUAGUUGGUGCUUUACAAGAGAAGAUGGAGACUCAAUAAAAGAUAAAAAUUACAUAUAAGUAAAUUGAUAGGCCCUUUGCAGAGGGAAGCAGAGAUUUUUAGAGGUGCCAUAGCUCAAGGUUUAAAUUUAGAGAUAAAAAUUGUUUUGAGAGUCAUGCUUUUCCUGUCCACUAAAAUGGCCAAGAAUUCUCAAUAUCUUCCAUGCUAGGUAAAUCAUAGGCGGUACCCAAACAUAAAAUAAAUUUAUUCCUUUUUCCACCAUUCUUUCACAAUCCAUGGUUAGCUGUAUCCACGGGUGCCUUCCAUACCAACACUUUCCAAGAAAUUUAUUAUUGACAACAUAAAGUUUUUUUCAUUUUAGGACUGGGCAUCCCUAUUACCGGCCACACUCUCAUGCAAUGACAAGUGAAUAAACACUCAUCUUGAGAAUAACCUACCUAGCAUGGAAAAUAUUGCCCCCUGCCGCUUCAUGAGCGGUACGGGCACACAAAAAGGAAAUUAAUUUUGAAAAUUAGAGUUGGCACAUACAAAUUUACUUGGAAUGGCCUGGAAAUACCGCAUAUAUGUAGAUAUGGUGGAGUCAUUGGGCACAACUUGGGUUUAGAGAUUAGGAUGCACAAGUAGUAUUCCCGCUUAGUACAAGGAAAGGCUAGCAAAUAAAUUGACAAGCAAUCAACCAUGAAAUGAAAAUGAUCAUAAAUGAGCAUUAAACAUAACUAACACCGAAUAAUGCAACACAAACAGGAUGUAAUUUCAUUGCAUAACUAUUGACUUUCGUGCUUGCAUAAGGAAUCAAAAAGCUUAACACCAAUAUUCUUAUUAAAGCAUAAUUACUCACCAACAUGACUCACAUAUUACUAUCUCCAUAUCGCAAAACUAUUGCAAGGAAUCAAGUUUUAAUAUCCAAUGAUCUUCAUGAAAGUUUUUAUUAUAUCCCUCUUGAUUUAUCACUUUGGGACCAAAUUCAUAUUUUAAGCAAAUUGCCAUUGCUAAUAACAAUCUCUCAAACAAAUUUAAGUGAAGACACUACAAAAAAAACAC